UACGAAGGUGGCGAGCGUUGUUCGGAAUCACUGGGCCUAAAGCGCACGUAGGCGGCUUCUUAAGUUUGAUGUGAAAUCCCCCGGCCCAACCGGGGAACUGCGUCCAGUACUGCGUUGCUUGAGGAUCCAAGGGGUGCAUGGAAUUCCCGGUGGAGCGGUGAAAUGCGUUGAUAUCGGGAGGAACUCCGACGGCGAAAGCAGUGCACUGGUGGAUUACUGACGCUGAGAUGCGAAAGCCAGGGGAGCAAACGGG
rnacentral:rRNA from 1 species